GCCUUCUCCUAAAAGUUCAUGGUGUUGUUUUUAUCUCUUUGGCUUCUGGUUUCAAUUGCCAGAACAUAAUUUAAGGUACCUCAGUUCUAAGCUGUUGAAAUUAUAUUUCAUGACGACAAGCCGGUUACUUAAAUUUUUCUACUUUGAAACUUCAAAGCCAAAACUGUAAUUUUGAAAAUGAUUACAGAAAUUAUGAUCAACCCGUCAUACUAAUAAU
rnacentral:lncRNA from 1 species